AGGACGAACGCUGGCGGCGUGCUUAACACAUGCAAGUCGAGCGGUAAGGCCCUUUCGGGGGUACACGAGCGGCGAACGGGUGAGUAACACGUGAGCAAUCUGCCCUUCACUUCGGGAUAAGCCUCGGAAACGGGGUCUAAUACCGGAUAUGACCGCGCUACGCAUGUGGUGUGGUGGAAAGUUCUGGCGGUGGAGGAUGAGCUCGCGGCCUAUCAGCUUGUUGGUGGGGUAAUGGCCUACCAAGGCUUCGACGGGUAGCCGGCCUGAGAGGGUGACCGGCCACACUGGGACUGAGACACGGCCCAGACUCCUACGGGAGGCAGCAGGUGGGGAAUAGUUGGACAAGUGGGACGAAAGCCUGAUCCAG
rnacentral:rRNA from 1 species